rnacentral:tRNA from 1 species
ACUGAUAGGGCUGCUGUGCAGGCCACUGUGAUAUAGUGGUUGUGGGAUGUUUUCCUCGUCGGUA